rnacentral:rRNA from 1 species
UACGAAGGUGGCGAAUGUUGCUCGGAUUCACUGGGCGUAAAGCGUCGGUAGGAGGUUGCUCAAGUCAGGUGUGAAAGCCCCGUGCUCAACAUGGGAAUUGCACUUGAAACUAGGUAACUUGAAGAUAAGAGAGGAUGGCGGAAUAUCCGGUGUAGAGGUAAAAUUCAUAGAUAUCGGAUGGAACACCCAUGGCGAAGGCAGCUAUCUGGCUUAUUCUUGACUCUGAGCGACGACAGCGUGGGGAGCAAACAGG